UAAUAUUGUAGUAAUUUGUGGGAGGAUUUACAAUCUUUUCUGAAAGGAGAAAACAACAAAUCCAUAUAAAAUUACAUUUUUUAAACAUUUUGAUACAUUUUUCUUUUAUCGUCAUCAGAAGUACAGUAAAACUUGUGAAAGCUGGAACCUACCUGUGUAAGACGGAAACUUAUCAGAGAAGGAAAACUCAAAUAUUUUCCACUAAAAGGAGAGAGAGAAAAGUAGUAAGACUGUACCUUGUCAAAGGUGGAAAGCUUUCAAGACCCAGAAAAAUAGGGCAGUCUGGUGGAGUUCUGGCUUUCACAGAACUGUCACUGUAUAUGUGACAGAGGAAAUGAAUUAGCCCUACUGGGGAAUGAGUAAGGUUAACAGUACAGAGAGAUUAUAGAACUGGAUCAAAAUCAUCCCUGUGAAUCUGCAGAUGAGGAAACUGGGGCUGGGCUUCAGGACUCUCCUAAGACCAAGCAGUGAGGAAGCAAGGCAGUGUCCAACCAGGACCAGAAGGAGGUUCUUCCCAGGUCUUUGCUAGUCCCUCCUACAGUCAGUUCCAAUUCUCCAAAGCAAAGCAAAAGCCCAGUUGACAACUGCACCUCCCUCCCUUCAUCCUGGUACAAUUCUCAGAAUCAAGUCUCUUCAGGGUGCAGAGCCACUUGGUCUUUGCAGCUAAGUGUACAGGAGAUGCCAAUACAGUCUCACGUGUACACCUGAUACAAGUAGCUCACUCUUCAUCAGCAUCUCUUUCCAGCCCAUUGUCCAGUCCCUUCCAUGUCUGAUGGGUUGAGACCAACUGAUGCAUCUUAGAUGGCCGCUUGUUAGCAUUUAAGAACCCAGACGCCACACUUCAAAGUGGGAUGCAGAAUGCUGAAAACACUUUUUAAGUCAUGUUAAGGCAGAAUGGUAUUUAGAAACUCUAUUCUCUACAUUUCACUUGCAACGAACAGAAAGAGACUGGGAUGGAGCCAAAAAGUAGUCACUGUGGAAGGAAAGGAGCCAAGGAAAACAAAAGAAAUGUAAAUAAUCUUUUGCUUUUUCUGCUGGGUGCAAAGACCGUUUGGGUUCAGCUCAUCUGCUCAUUUAAGAGAGGAAGUUGGCAGAAUCCUGGGCUAGCAUCUUCCCUUCUGUGAAAAGGUUUACUUUCCCUUCUAUUUCAUCCUCAUUACUGGAGACUUGAGGUAUUUUUUCAAGGCCACUUUAGUAUAAAUAAAUGUGUAAAAUUUCAAUCUGUCUCCAU